GGCAGUCUUCACAUAACCUUAAGUUUUUGGUGAUCCGAAUUGUUUCUCCAUGACUUGUAUUGAUAAGCCCGAACGCAACAGCUAAUUUUUCACUAUGACCUAAUAUUAUUCGCUCCUUUUCCUCUGCAUCAAGGUCAUAGAGCACGACUUUGGUUUGUGGCACAUACCCUUUCUCCUUCAUCUCAGUUGAAAGUUUCACCAACAAAGCA
rnacentral:misc_RNA from 1 species